rnacentral:rRNA from 1 species
GGAAUUUUCCGCAAUGGGCGAAAGCCUGACGGAGCAAUACCGCGUGAGGGAGGAAGGCUCUUGGGUUGUAAACCUCUUUUCUCAGGGAAUAAGCAAGUGAAGGUACCUGAGGAAUCAGCAUCGGCUAACUCCGUGCCAGCAGCCGCGGUAAUACGGAGGAUGCAAGCGUUAUCCGGAAUGAUUGGGCGUAAAGCGUCCGUAGGUGGCUGUGUGUGUCUAUUGUUAAAGAGUUUGGCUCAACCAAAUAAGGGCGGUAGAAACUACACAGCUAGAGUGCGUUCGGGGCAGAGGGAAUUCCUGGUGUAGCGGUGAAAUGCGUAGAGAUCAGGAAGAACACCGGUGGCGAAAGCGCUCUGCUAGGCCGCAACUGACACUGAGGGACGAAAGCUAGGGGAGCGAAUGGGAUUAGAUACCCCUGUAGUC